UACGUAGGUCCCGAGCGUUGUCCGGAUUUAUUGGGCGUAAAGCGAGGGCAGGUGGUUUAUUAAGUCUGGUGUAAAAGGCAGUGGCUCAACCAUUGUAUGCAUUGGAAACUGGUAGACUUGAGUGCAGGAGAGGAGAGUGGAAUUCCAUGUGUAGCGGUGAAAUGCGUAGAUAUAUGGAGGAACACCGGUGGCGAAAGCGGCUCUCUGGCCUGUAACUGACACUGAGGCUCGAAAGCGUGGGGAGCAAACAGG
rnacentral:rRNA from 1 species